rfam:Myotis brandtii contig182084, whole genome shotgun sequence.
GGCGGUUCUUGGGUGAUGCACCCUGGAAUCGGGCUCACCCCUCUCUGGUUCGGGUGUGUUACCCGAGAACCGCA